UUGCUUCUUGGGUGGCGAGUGGCGAACGGGUGAGUAAUAUAUCGGAACGUACCGAGUAAUGGGGGAUAACUAAUCGAAAGAUUAGCUAAUACCGCAUAUUCUCUGAGGAGGAAAGCAGGGGACCUUCGGGCCUUGCGUUAUUCGAGCGGCCGAUAUCUGAUUAGCUAGUUGGUGGGGUAAAGGCCUACCAAGGCGACGAUCAGUAGCGGGUCUGAGAGGAUGAUCCGCCACACUGGGACUGAGACACGGCCCAGACUCCUACGGGAGGCAGCAGUGGGGAAUUUUGGACAAUGGGCGCAAGCCUGAUCCAGCCAUGCCGCGUGUCUGAAGAAGGCCUUCGGGUUGUAAAGGACUUUUGUCAGGGAAGAAAAGGCUGUUGCUAAUACCGACAGCUGAUGACGGUACCUGAAGAAUAAGCACCGGCUAACAACGUGCCAGCAGCCGCGGUAAUACGUA
rnacentral:rRNA from 1 species